CAGUAGCCGCGGGAAUACAGAGGGUGCGAGCGUUAAUCGGAUUUACUGGGCGUAAAGCGUGCGUAGGCGGCUUUUUAAGUCGGAUGUGAAAUCCCUGAGCUUAACUUAGGAAUUGCAUUCGAUACUGGGAAGCUAGAGUAUGGGAGAGGAUGGUAGAAUUCCAGGUGUAGCGGUGAAAUGCGUAGAGAUCUGGAGGAAUACCGAUGGCGAAGGCAGCCAUCUGGCCUAACACUGACGCUGAGGUACGAAAGCAUGGGGAUCAAACAGGAUUAGAUACCCCGGUAGUCCCUGUCUCUUAUAA
rnacentral:rRNA from 1 species